GGUCUUUCAGCCGGGACAUCAGAGGAAGGCAGGGGGAGUCUUCCCAAGGGAUUUGGAUGGUGGCCCAGGCAUAUCACCUGUGUCCACUGGGAGAGAAGAAAUGUGGACGUUGGCAGGCUGAGCCCUUGGCUACCUUUCUGCCAUCCUUAGCAUGUCACCAGUAUCCUCAUGGUCACAAGAUGCAAUGCUCCUCUAUGCAUGCCCCACGGGAAGGGACAGAGGUCUGAUGAGGCCAACUGAGCCCUUUCAGGCCUAGCACCUUCCACUUAUAGCUCAGGAGCCAAAACCGCCUCAUGUGCCAAUACUGUGUGUAAUCACUGAGGAUAGGAAGGGAGGAGGGAGGACCUUGGGGUUCAGGCCUGCACCCCUAUCAGCUGUGUUCUGUCAUCUGGUUAUCUCCUCUUCCAUCACACAAAGAUCCCCACAUUAAAUAUGAAAUAACAGGGUCACGAGACUUCCUACAGACCCCAGAAGUGUUGACUGGCCUCUUAUGGCAACUGGGUGGGGAGCAAGAUGGCCGUGGUCUCUGCCACCAGGGAGCAGGUAGCGCUCUGGGAGAAAUUACAGCCUGGGGGCACAAGAAGCAUUGGGAAGCAUACAGGGGAGGUGUAAUCCCAGUUGGGAGAGGGCAGCAAGUGGGGAGUGCUUCCAGAAGAUGGAGACAUCCAAACUCAGACCUAAAGGAUGAACAGAAGCAAACCUGGGGAAGGAGAAGGGAGGGCAGCGAAUGACACAAUUAAGGAGCAGGAGGAAUUCAGCCAGAAAGCCGAGUGAGGGCUUUGGCUGGAAAGGAAUUGGGCCAGGCCACGGGAAGAGGGGUAGACAGAGAUGGAAUUGGGUGCGGGCCAGAGGAGGGCCUUGCCUGCAGGUGGUACAGUGGGGCUGGGGCUGAGGGCCAGGCAGGAGGCUACUACAGUUAGGAAGGCAACACCCAAGCUCGGGAUGCAGGGCCAGAGAUGGAGUGAAAAUUCAGACAGCCCCACAAGGAGUGGGGGGUUUUCUGCUCCCUUUGAGCAGUGAUCAUGGGCGCAGCUCCCUCAGUCCUUGGGGGUCCUUGGGUGGCUGGGUCAGAUGACAGUCAGGCCUCAACAUAGCCCCUGAGCCUAAGACCCUGUGAGACGCUCCAUUAGGAACGGAGAGGAUGGUUAUAGAGUCAGUCAGAAGGAGAAGGUGAGGCUGGAGAGGGGGCAGGAGGAAAAAAGGAAGGGAGCUUUCCCUUGUGAAAUAGGCAUGGUUUGUGCCCAGGGCUCUGAGGACAAGCGGGAACUGGUCAGGCUUUACCUAGCAGCUGAUCAGAGCCUCAUCAGGAGUCUGCCUGCUUCCAGGAUGUGUGGUCGGUGGCAGUGGUGCCCAGCAGCUCAGGGAGAGGGGCCUGGACACUGGGGCGCUGGGUGCUGAUUUGAAGGAUGUGGAGAUAUGGCCAGGAGGCUGGGCCCAGCAGUCAGAAGCCCUCAUCUAGGGAAACAAAGAGUAUCAAGUCUGGUCACCUCCUAAUGGAGCAGAAUCAGUGCGUGGGACAGGCCAGAGGUGGCUUCAGCCACCAGGCAGGGGGUGCAGCUUAAGAAGAGUCUAGCCCUCACCUAGUCCAAAAGCAGCCAUCCAGUUUCCUCCCUUUGUGGCAUCAAAAUUCUUUUCUUUGGCUUCAUAACCAUAAUUGCAAACAUAAUUCACACCAUUUCCUAAGAAAGAAAUUUGGGGGAAAAUAAAAAUUUGUUUAAACUGUCAUAAAAGGAGCUAGACAUUUACCAAUUUUUAUGAGUAACCAGAAAUUUUCACAAAGCACUUUGUGUUGAUAGGGAAGGAAAAGGCAGCAGGGAACAUGAGCAUUUACUUAGUGCCUACUGUGUGCCUUCUCUCCAUUGGUAGGCAGCAACACCCCACUUCUCCCAGCCCCCCAACCCCCAGUCCUUUGCCACUGCAAGACAGCUUGAUGGGCUCAGGCACAGCCUGAGCUGAACAUGCCCCUUACUCAGAGACAUCCUGUGCCUCACCAGCAAGGACAGGGUAAGUGGCAGACCUCACGUUGGCACCUCUGGGCUGUGGGCAAAUUCCUAACAUUCUGAGCGCAGCACCAUCUCCUAUAAAAUGGGGAUAAUAAGUCUCUUAUAGGCUCUUGACUAGGAAAAAGUAAAUGUGCCAAAGCAUUGCAGAGCCUAAGCGUGAUGCCUGACACAUAGUGAGGGCUCAGGAGAAACAGCUUAUUAAACAAGAAUGGCCCCAACUUAAUCUCUCCACCCCCGCUCCCCAUCCAUCCACACUUUUGGCUAUCAUGAAAGUAUCUAGUUGUUGGGACCUCCCUGGUGGCUCAAGGGGUUAAGACUCAACCUAUAAGCUGUCAGCAACCACUGCAGCAUGAGUUCGAUCCCUGGCCAGGGAGCUACCCACAUGGUGUAGCAGACCCCUCCUGUCUCGCCCGCUGCUUCCCUCAGCAGUGUAUUUCAGUCAGUCUGCCUGUUUUGCUUCCCACUCUGUCUCUGGUGAAUCCUCUCACUCCCCACACCUCUGGCCCGUACCCCAGUUCUUGUAUGCAUAAAUAAAUCUUUUUAAAAAAAAUCUAGUCUUUUACAAACUGCCAACUUCUUUCCACACCUCCUGUCCCUCUGCCUCUUGUUAGUCUCAGUUCAGCAGCUCUGAAAUGCCCUUACCCUGUCACACCCUCCUUUUCUUCUCAUAAGGGCCAUGGCUACCCCCCUGUCUCCUUCCAGAUGUCCUCCCGCUCACUCCCAGGAGCACCCUGGGGGCAUGGCUGCCAUCACCUCAGCCACACACACCUGUGCUGUUGAAGGAGGUUCUCCAGCAACUAGGGGCACCAGCUCCACGGUGCCCCGUGGCAGCCAGGUGUGGCUGCUUGACUGACAGUGCCAACAAUUGCCACGUGUGGAUUUCAAGCAGCACCUCAAAGGGACAAAUGUGCUCCUCUUCCAGCCACUCCUCCUCCCUGCCUGGAAAGCAGACAAAAGAGAAUGGCAACCAGAGAGCCAUGGCACCAUUAAGAACCAGCCCUGGGAGCCCCCAAUAAGGUCAACUACUUUAUGACAAGGAUGCCAAGACCAUUCACUAGAGAAAAUAGCAGUCUUUUCAACAAAUGAUGCUGGGACAACUGGAUCUCCACGUGCAAAAAAGAAUGAAGUUGGUGCGCCUCCCCUGGUGGCGCAGGUGGUUGAGUGCCACACUGUGAAACUGUCUGCAGCCUCUGCAGUGCCGGUUUGAUCCCGCCCGGCCGGCCGCGAGGAUCCCACUUGGUGUAGCAGACCUCUCCUGUCUCACCUGCUGCUCCCCUCAGCAGUGUGUUUCGUCAGUCUGUCUGUUCUCCUCCUCACUCUGUCUCUGGUGAAUCCUCUCACCCUCCCGCGAAUUUGGCCUGUA